GACGAACGCUGGCGGCGUGCCUAAUACAUGCGAGUUGAGCGCUGAAGGUUGGUACUUGUACCAACUGGAUGAGCAGCGAACGGGUGAGUAACGCGUGGGGAAUCUGCCUUUGAGCGGGGGACAACAUUUGGAAACGAAUGCUAAUACCGCAUAAAAACUUUAAACACAAGUUUUAAGUUUGAAAGAUGCAAUUGCAUCACUCAAAGAUGAUCCCGCGUUGUAUUAGCUAGUUGGUGAGGUAAAGGCUCACCAAGGCGAUGAUACAUAGCCGACCUGAGAGGGUGAUCGGCCACAUUGGGACUGAGACACGGCCCAAACUCCUACGGGAGGCAGCAGUAGGGAAUCUUCGGCAAUGGACGAAAGUCUGACCGAGCAACGCCGCGUGAGUGAAGAAGGUUUUCGGAUCGUAAAACUCUGUUGGCAGAGAAGAACGUUGGUGAGAGUGGAAAGCUCAUCAAGUGACGGUAACUACCCAGAAAGGGACGGCUAACUACGUG
rnacentral:rRNA from 1 species